rnacentral:rRNA from 1 species
UUCGACCUCAAAUCAGGUAGGACUACCCGCUGAACUUAAGCAUAUCAAUAAGCGGAGGAAAAGAAACCAACAGGGAUUGCCUUAGUAGCGGCGAGUGAAGCGGCAAAAGCUCAAAUUUGAAAUCUGGCACUUUCAGUGUCCGAGUUGUAAUUUGAAGAAGGUAUCUUUGGGUCUGGCUC